GGACUACCGGGGUAUCUAAUCCUGUUCGCUCCCCACGCUUUCGCUCCUCAGCGUCAGUUACUGCCCAGAGACCCGCCUUCGCCACCGGUGUUCCUCCUGAUAUCUGCGCAUUCCACCGCUACACCAGGAAUUCCAGUCUCCCCUGCAGUACUCCAGUCUGCCCGUAUCGCCCGCACGCCAGAGGUUAAGCCCCUGGUUUUCACGAACAACGCGACAAACCACCUACGAGCUCUUUACGCCCAGUAAUUCCGGACAACGCUCGCACCCUACGUAUUACCGCGGCUGCUGGCAC
rnacentral:rRNA from 1 species